ACCUACGGGGCGCAGCAGUGGGGGAUAUUGCACAAUGGGGGGAACCCUGAUGCAGCGACGCCGCGUGGGUGAAGAAGCGCCUCGGCGCGUAAAGCCCUGUCAGCAGGGAAGAAAAAGACGGUACCUGAAGAAGAAGCCCCGGCUAACUACGUGCCAGCAGCCGCGGUAAUACGUAGGGGGCAAGCGUUAUCCGGAUUUACUGGGUGUAAAGGGGGCGCAGACGGCGAUGCAGGCCAGGAGUGAAAGCCCGGGGCCCAACCCCGGGACUGCUCUUGGAACUGCGUGGCUGGAGUGCAGGAGGGGCG
rnacentral:rRNA from 1 species